CACGUAGGGCGCAAGCGUUGUCCGGAAUUAUUGGGCGUAAAGAGCUCGUAGGCGGUCUGUUGCGUCUGCUGUGAAAACUCGGGGCUUAACCCCGAGCCUGCAGUGGAUACGGGCAGCUAGAGGUAGGUAGGGGGAGAAUGGAAUUCCCGGUGUAGCGGUGAAAUGCGCAGAUAUCGGGAGGAACACCGGUGGCGAAGGCGGUUCUCUGGGCCUUACCUGACGCUGAGGAGCGAAAGCGUGGGGGAGCGAACAGG
rnacentral:rRNA from 1 species